rnacentral:rRNA from 1 species
UACGUAGGGAGCAAGCGUUGUCCGGAAUCAUUGGGCGUAAAGCGCGCGUAGGUGGCUUCGUAAGUCCGUUGUGAAAGUCAAAGGCUCAACCUUUGAAAGCCGAUGGAUACUGUGGAGCUAGAGUACGGAAGAGGCGAGUGGAAUUCCUGGUGUAGCGGUGGAAUGCGCAGAUAUCAGGAGGAACACCAAUAGCGAAGGCAGCUCGCUGGGACGUUACUGACACUAAGGCGCGAAAGCGUGGGGAGCGAACAGG